rnacentral:rRNA from 1 species
GACGAACCGAGCGAACGUUGUUCGGAAUCACUGGGCUUAAAGGGCGCGUAGGCGGGCUGCCGCGUCCGGGGUGAAAUCCUCCGGCUCAACCGGGGAACGGCCUCGGAUACGGGCGGCCUCGAGGGGGGUAGGGGCAUGCGGAACUGUGGGUGGAGCGGUGAAAUGCGUUGAUAUCCACAGGAACUCCGGUGGCGAAGGCGGCGUGCUGGACCCCUUCUGACGCUGAGGCGCGAAAGCCAGGGGAGCAAACGGG